rnacentral:rRNA from 1 species
AAAUAGCAUCUGACCGGCCGUUCGUAAGAAGGCGACUCCCCUUCGGGGCAGAUGUGUAGGUGCUGCAUGGUUGUCGUCAGCUCGUGCCGUGAGGUGUCGGCUUAAGUGCCAUAACGAGCGCAACCCUCAUCAUUAGUUACCAUCAGGUAAGGCUGGGGACUCUAAUGAGACUGCCAUCGUAAGAUGUGAGGAAGGUGGGGAUGACGUCAAAUCAGCACGGCCCUUACGUCCGGGGCGACACACGUGUUACAAUGGGUGGUACAAAGGGCAGCUACCUGGCGACAGGAUGCUAAUCUCGAAAACCGCUCUCAGUUCGGAUCGGAGUCUGCAACUCGACUCCGUGAAGCUGGAUUCGCUAGUAAUCGCGCAUCAGCCACGGCGCGGUGAAUACGUUCCCGGGCCUU